CAAAAAACAAUAAUAGUGCCGCUCUUGGUAGUUGGCACCGAAGACAAAAGUUGUCCCUAGUCAACUUGUGAGACAUUGUACCAAUUUCAAAACUACUUGGUUUCUUACACAGUGCUACUCUUUGCACCGGAGUCAAAAAUAUUACUCCUAAGAUGGAACAACACCACCACAGCUCUUUCCGCCGCCGCCGCCACCACCACCACCACCACCACCACCAUGUUGUACCUGUAUGUGCUUCACACAAUCAUUUGUUACAAAACCCCAAUUCUAAUUUUUGCGAUCACCUAAUAAAAAUCAUCCCACCUCCCCAAAUCCCUCACUCUCUACUUCCGCUUUCUUCCCACAACAUUCCAGAUCACGUCUUUUCUGGGUUUCAACCACCUCCCACUCCCCACAAUUGUCAAAAUUUGCAGGGCGAUGCAUUGAUGAAUCUGAAGACGUAGAAGAUGAAGAACCAAAUUUUGUUAUGACAGAUGAAUGGAGUGAGUUCUUUGCAAAAUCUGAAGCCGGUGGAUAAGAAGUGCAGGAAAGGUGAAUUCAUGGGGCAAAAGCUAGUCGAAGUGUCUCGGGAUCUUACACCUUCUUGCAGAUGACAAAGAGGAAUGUAAAUAGUUGAUCUUUUCAACCAGUAUGAAGUAGCAUCCGAAUAGAAAAUCAAUUAUGAUAAGUUGGAAAUUUGUUUUGACAAAGGGGUGAAGGAAGAUUUGAUGGUUCUUUUGAAAAUGGGAUAAAUUGACAGACAUGAGAAAUAUUUAGGCAUUAUACUGUGGUAGAGAGAUCGAAAAAAGCAGUGUUCAGAGCUCUACUUGAUAGAAUAUGGAAAAAAUUACAGGGUUGAAAAGAGAAAUUACUCUAGUGAGCUGGGAAAAAAGUAUUAUUGAAACCAGUCAUUUAGGCCAUUCCAACUUAUUUGAUGGGUAUCUACAAAUUUUCAGCUUCUGUUACCCAUGAAAUUCAGUCGACUAUGGCUCAGUUGUUUUGGGGUAAAAAACGGGACCUAACCGAAAGAUACAUUGGAACUCAAUGUGUGAAUCAAAGUGUCUUGGCUGGAGGUAUGGGUUUCAAAGACAUAUUGGUGUUGAAUGAUGCUCUUCGUGAUUGGCAGGCGUGGCGGCUUUUUCAUGGAUAUGACACUCUUCUUGGAAAAGUAAUGAAUUAUCCUAUAACAUCUCUCUUAGAGGCCUCUCUAGGAUCUUCAACAAGCUACUCAUGGGAUGGAGUAAGGAAUAUGAAGGCCCUUGUAAAAGAAGAACGAUUUAGAGGGAUGGUAAUGGUUUAGAAAUUAAUAUUGGGAAGGACCCUUGGUUGCGGAUGAGAAUGACCGUUUCAUUACUACACUAAAAUACGUUUCCCCCGAGUAAGUGCUUUAAUUUGAUUGUUGUGACAACUAUGGAAUGGAAUGUUGAUCUUAUUUUAUAGCAUUUUCGAUCAAUGAGAGAUCUCAAAAAUUGCAUUUUUUUCAAUUUCGUCGAGUGAAAGAGGUCCAAAGGAUGUUGUUACUUGGGCUUUUUCAAACGAUGUAAACUAUUCUAUGAAAACUUCAUAUAUGUUAUAGCAGGCUGGCUGUAAUCUUGAUGAGUUCCAUGAGGCUUGGGUGACGUAUGGAGUUUAGAAGCAUCACCAAAAGUAAAGCAUUCUCAUAUGGCGUUUACUGGGAUACUGCCAACUUGUUGCCUGCUACAUGUGAGGCACCUGAUUGAAGAAGCCUGAUGUCCGUGGUGUACAAGCGACAUGGAAACAACAUAUCAUGCCAUUUUUGGCUUCCUUCGAGUGUGUGGAUUAUGGCAAGAGAAUGGCUGCAACAGUUUGAUUGAGAACGCAAAUGAAACCUCAUUAAAAAGUAGUUGCAAGUUGGAAGAAGGCUAAUGCAAAGUUGAAACAAAAAGCAUCCUUUUUGGCAUGAAGUAUAUGGGUUGAGCGCAAUUCGAAAGUCUUCAAAGGUAAGACAACUCCAAACUCCACCAUUGUAAAAAGAGUUAAUAGGCUGCUUGAUGAGUUUGCGCAGCACACUACACGCAUAUAUGACCCAAAAGGGACUAGUUGUAACUCAAGUGAAAAAGUGCAAAAGGUGCCUCCGGUGGGUGUAAUGAAGAUAAUUGCAUAUGCCUCUUUAUCUUCAGAUAUGGCUGGGUAGGAAUAGGAGUUGUGGGGAGGAUUCACAAAGGAAGGGUACUCUUCGUAGUACUAGAUGAGUUAGAGCUCGAUGGCCACUUGUGAUAGCAGAUGGAAAGAUGCUGCUUAUGACGCUCUUUGGCGCAAAAAUUUGGCUACAAGGAUAUUAUACUAGAAUCGGGUAGCUAGUGAUCAUCUCGCGACUGACCAAGGCUAUGAUUUAUUUCUCUGAUCCCGACUUUGUAUUAGAAGAUAUUUUGUCUUUGAGUAGAUCCUUUAAUUCAAUGUUUUGGUCUCAUGUUGACAGGGAUGGUAAAGCUAUAGCCCAUCACCUUGCUAAGCUAGUGUUUUUUGGUAUGGAACAAUAAAUCUGGAAGUAGAAAUUUUCCAUAUGUACUCAUGCACACUUUGUCCUUUGAUCAAUAUGCUACUUUUUUUUUUU